rfam:Anisakis simplex genome assembly, scaffold: ASIM_scaffold0000354
CCAACGGCUCUCUUUAGAGCCACAUAACCAAUGAACCAAAACUUUU